rnacentral:lncRNA from 1 species
AAUUAUGUUGCUCCACCGCUAAAAGUAAUAGGGUUAACAGUAGUAUUUUGUGUUGGCCCAUCUCGAAGGGGUACUUAUCUUGUCGCCUUUCUAAACGGACUGGAACUUCUGAAAGUCGAAUAAUUCUCAGGGAAGCCUAACAGGUAUCUUCUGUUCCUACUAAUCCUAGCUCAAGCGCCCAAAAAAGGUCGGAGUUAUUGUG